rnacentral:misc_RNA from 1 species
AAGUCAGCGCUAUCCUUGCACAAUCAAUGACACCGUACACUUGGGCAGGAGCAUUGCCAAAGGGUCCCCAUGCCCCCUAAUAACCCCACAGUUUAAUGUGAAGCUCAAUGUAAUAACCGAACAAACUGUUAACAAUGGAUAUCUUGGUUCUC